UUAAUAUUUUUAUUAUUAGAAUUAAGAUAUAUAUAUAUUAAGGUUAAAGUUAUUUAUUAGGAGGUGAAAUUUUUAUGUUAUAUAAUUUUUAUGUAGGUUUUCUUAAAUUCAAAAUUUAAACUAGGAUUAGAUACCCUAUUAUUUUGUUUGUAAAAGAUUUUAGGGUAGUAUUAGUUAUGGUCUUUAAACCUAAAGAAUUUGGCGGUGUUUUAUUCUAUUUAGAGGAACUUGUCCCUUAAUCGAUAAUCCUCGAUUUAUCUUUCUUUAUCUUGUUUUCAGUAUGUAUACCUCCGUUAUAGGUUUAUUUUAUUAGGUUUAAUUUACUUUAUAAGUUAUUAUUUAUUAU
rnacentral:rRNA from 1 species